UUUGGUGUCACCAUAUGUCAUUGAUUAUGAAACCUCAACUCUAACACCUAGUAGCAGGAGCACAAGGACAAAACCGGAACACAAGAUUAAAAAAGGUUUAGUCUUUAUACUACGGAAAUCUCACCCAGAAGAAGAACCAUGGGGCUGGCAUUGGCCCUUCGCAGGCUUUCCUCUUCUGUGGACAAUCCCAUUCGUCCUCUCUUCAAUGCCACCUCUCACUACUACAUGUCAUCUUUGCCCAAUGAAGCUGUCUAUGACAAGGAGAAGAACGGUGUCAGUUGGCCUAAGCAAUUGAAUGCUCCAUUGGAGGCUGUGGAUCCUGAGAUUGCUGACAUCAUCGAGCACGAGAAAGCCAGGCAAUGGAAGGGCCUAGAACUGAUACCUUCGGAGAACUUCACAUCAGUCUCUGUGAUGCAAGCAGUUGGUUCAGUCAUGACCAACACACGCAAUGAAGGGUAUCCAGGGGAAAGAUACUAUGGAGGAAAUGAGUUCAUUGACAUGGCAGAAACCUUGUGCCAGAAGCGUGCUUUGGAAGCUUUUCAGUUGGAUCCAAUAAAAUGGGGAGUCAAUGUUCAGCCUUUGUCAGGAUCUCCAGCUAAUUUUCAUGUUUACACUGCAUUGUUGAAACCUCAUGAUAGAAUCAUGGCUCUUGAUCUCCUCAUGGUGGUCAUCUUUCUCAUGGUUAUCAGACUGACACCAAAAAGAUAUCAGCUGUGUCAAUCUUUUUUGAGACAAUGCCAUACAGAUUGGAUGAGAGCACUGGUUACAUUGACUAUGACCAGUUGGAGAAAAGCACCACUUUCUUCAGGCCAAAAUUAAUAGUUGCUGGUGCUAGUGCUUAUGCACGUUUGUAUGAUUAUGCUACUACUCCAGAGUACAAAGCCUAUCAAGAACAAGUUCUCAGUAAUUGCUCAAGAUUUGCACAGUCAUUGAAUGAGAAGGGCUAUGAGCUUGUUUCUGGAGGAACUGAGAACCAUUUAGUUUUGGUGAAUUUGAAGAACAAGGGUAUUGACGGAUCCAGGGUCGAAAAGGUGUUGGAAGCCGUUCACAUUGCAGCCAACAAAAACACUGUUCCUGGAGAUGUGUCUGCCAUGGUUCCUGGUGGCAUCAGGAUGGGAACUCCAGCGCUUACUUCUAGGGGAUUUGUUGAGGAGGAUUUUGCUAAAGUUGCAGAUUUCUUUGAUGCCGCUGUGAAGUUGGCAGUGAAGGUCAAGGCAGAAGCCAAAGGAACAAAGUUAAAGGAUUUCUUGGCAGCAUUGCUUGCCUUUCAGUCUGAAACUGCAAAGCUGCGCCAUGAUGUCGAGGAGUAUGCCAAGCAAUUUCCGACAAUUGGGUUUGAGAAGGAAAGCAUGAAGUACAAGAACUGAGAGAAAUCACGUGUGUUAGGCAUACAUGGUGCCGGCAUCAUCAGAGUUUUCUUGAAUGAGAAAGGAGAAGGAUCAUGUCAAGAUGGAGCUCCAUCGAGCUAUAGUUUAUUUAAAUUCAGCGAACCCUGAUGAAUGUAUAUAGAUGUAUCAAUUUGAGGAUUUACAAUGCAAUAAACCUGCCUUAUU